rnacentral:rRNA from 1 species
ACGCUGGCGGCAUGCUUUACACAUGCAAGUCGGACGGCAGCACAGAGAAGCUUGCUUCUUGGGUGGCGAGUGGCGAACGGGUGAGUAAUAUAUCGGAACGUACCGAGUAAUGGGGGAUAACUAAUCGAAAGAUUAGCUAAUACCGCAUAUUCUCUGAGGAGGAAAGCAGGGGACCUUCGGGCCUUGCGUUAUUCGAGCGGCCGAUAUCUGAUUAGCUAGUUGGUGGGGUAAAGGCCUACCAAGGCGACGAUCAGUAGCGGGUCUGAGAGGAUGAUCCGCCACACUGGGACUGAGACACGGCCCAGACUCCUACGGGAGACAGCAGUGGGGAAUUUUGGACAAUGGGCGCAAGCCUGAUCCAGCCAUGCCGCGUGUCUGAAGAAGGCCUUCGGGUUGUAAAGGACUUUUGUCAGGGAAGAAAAGGCUGUUGCUAAUAUCGACAGCUGAUGACGGUACCUGAAGAAUAAGCACCGGCUAACUACGUGCCAGCAGCCGCGGUAAUACGUAGGGUGCGAGCGUUAAUCGGAAUUACUGGGCGUAAAGCGAGCGCAGACGGUUACUUAAGCAGGAUGUGAAAUCCCCGGGCUCAACCUGGGAACUGCGUUCUGAACUGGGUGACUAGAGUGUGUCAGAGGGAGGUAGAAUUCCACGUGUAGCAGUGAAAUGCGUAGAGAUGUGGAGGAAUACCGAUGGCGAAGGCAGCCUCCUGGGAUAACACUGACGUUCAUGCUCGAAAGCGUGGGUAGCAAACAGGAUUAGAUACCCUGGUAGUCCACGCCCUAAACGAUGUCAAUUAGCUGUUGGGCAACUUGAUUGCUUAGUAGCGUAGCUAACGCGUGAAAUUGACCGCCUGGGGAGUACGGUCGCAAGAUUAAAACUCAAAGGAAUUGACGGGGACCCGCACAAGCG